GAAGUAGAUUUAACCGUACGAAUUCUCCUCUUUCGUUUUAUGCUUAUAAGAGGCGCGUUCUCAUCAAUCGAAGAACUUCCCUCAUCUUCUUGAUAGCUAUUUUUUGAACUACCAACAUUAUUUUCUAGUAACUCUAUGGCUGGACCACUGAGGGCAACCAUAUCUUCUGAUAUUGCUCCUUCAUGUAAAUUAUCUGAUAGAAUAUUAAUAGCGUCGCAUUCAUGAGUAAUGUUAUA